GAUGAACGCUGGCGGCGUGCCUAAUACAUGCAAGUCGAGCGAACGGACGAGAAGCUUGCUUCUCUGAUGUUAGCGGCGGACGGGUGAGUAACACGUGGAUAACCUACCUAUAAGACUGGGAUAACUUCGGGAAACCGUAGCUAAUACCGGAUAAUAUUUUGAACCGCAUGGUUCAAAAGUGAAAGACGGUCUUGCUGUCACCUAUAGAUGGAUCCGCGCUGCAUUAGCUAGUUGGUAAGGUAACGGCUUACCAAGGCAACGAUGCAUAGCCGACCUGAGAGGGUGAUCGGCCACACUGGAACUGAGACACGGUCCAGACUCCUACGGGAGGCAGCAGUAGGGAAUCUUCCGCAAAGGGCGAAAGCCUGACGGAGCAACGCCGCGUGAGUGAUGAAGGUCUUCGGAUCGUAAAACUCUGUUAUUAGGGAAGAACAUAUGUGUAAGUAACUGUGCACAUCUUGACGGUACCUAAUCAGAAAGCCACGGCUAACUACGUG
rnacentral:rRNA from 1 species